UAGGGAAUCUUCCACAAUGGACGAAAGUCUGAUGGAGCAACGCCGCGUGAGUGAAGAAGGGUUUCGGCUCGUAAAACUCUGUUGUUGAAGAAGAACAUAUCUGAGAGUAACUGUUCAGGUAUUGACGGUAUUUAACCAGAAAGCCACGGCUAACUACGUGUCAG
rnacentral:rRNA from 1 species